rnacentral:lncRNA from 1 species
UUUAAAAUAAUCCAGGUCAAAAGAACAGUUACUGAGGAGGGAAGAAGGCACAAGAAGAACUGAGUUAUGUGGAUAGAUUAUUUUCAUUACUGCAUUAAUCUAAAUCGUCAAUAUACAGGGUUGUUUGCUCUCUUACCUAGUCCUGUUCUGAAAUUAACUUACUUAAUUGUAUUUCUGCAUUUUCUAUUUAUGUAGAUGCCCCAAAUAUUUCUUUUUAUUUAAAGAGGAUUUUCUCCCCAUUUAUCCCAUUCAGAUCUUGAGGCAUAAUCAGUAUAAGGACUACUAAGUCUUGAGUAGGGACAGGGAAAACUAGAACCUCUGUUUCAUUUAGCACAUAGAUGUGCUACAGUUUGAUCUUCCAAAGGGAAAUGUUCACACACACUGCAAGUGAAUACAUUUCGACUUCCUUGCAAACUGUUCCAUUAUAAGCCUGAUAUCCUACCUUUUACCCAGGUAUAUGGAACACUGAGGUGGGAGGAGACCCAUACUGAAAGAUAAAAUAGAGUUGGUUGGGCAGUGAAAUUAGGAAUUA